rnacentral:rRNA from 1 species
UACGUAGGGGGCAAGCGUUAUCCGGAUUUACUGGGUGUAAAGGGAGCGCAGACGGCAGUGCAAGUCUGGAGUGAAAGCCCGGGGCCCAACCCCGGGACUGCUCUGGAAACUGUACGGCUGGAGUACGGGAGGGGCAGGCGGAAUUCCUAGUGUAGCGGUGAAAUGCGUAGAUAUAUGGAAGAACACCAGUGGCGAAAGCGGCUCUCUGGUCUGUAACUGACGCUGAGGUUCGAAAGCGUGGGUAGCAAACAGG